UAUUUUUAAGUAUCGCCUGCUCAAUGAAAUUUAAAUAGCCGCAGAAAUUUAACUGUGCUAAGGUAGCAUAAUCAUUAGCUCUUUAAUUAAGGGCUUGUAUGAAAGGCAACACAUUUUACACCCUAUAAUCACUUUAAUUCAUUUAACUUAAAUUAAGAAUAAAAAUGUUCUUAUUCUAAAAAUAGACGAUAAGACCCUAUCGAACUUUACUUUAGUUUAACUGGGGCAGUUAAAUAAGUAAUAUUUUAUUUUCCUUUUUUAUAUAAAAACCCAAUUCCUUUGAAUAUAAAUAAGUUACCAUAGGGAUAACAGCGUAAUUUACUUUUAAAGCUCUUAUUUAAAAAUAAGAUUGCGACCUCGAUGUUGAAUUAAUGUCUCUCUUUAUAAAGCAACAAUUUUUAGAGUAGGUCUGUUCGACCUUUAAAACAUUACA
rnacentral:rRNA from 1 species